rnacentral:sRNA from 1 species
UGAUUAUCAGAUGGCAUCAGAUCCAGUGC